CGUUUUCAGUCCUCGCCGGAGUCCGUUACUUUCGUCGCCGUUUUCAUCUCGUUGGUUUCAUCGUCGAGCUACUCUCGUUGCUCCAGAAAUCGAGCCCAAUCUGUAACCGGAGCUUUCUAGGUUUAUUCUUUUUUGCGAGGGAUUGGAUAGUCAUGUGACGUCUGGACUUGUUGGAUCAAGAAAGAUAAUAAGAUGCAAAGGUGAGGAAACAUAUUUAUUUGUAUUGAAAAGAGUUCAUACUUCAUAAUUUAUAUGCGUAGCUGCUAAUUGAAUCUUCUUAGUGUUCAGGGUUCAACCUGUGCCUUAUCACUUGCAGACCUGGAUUUAUUUUGCAGUGAGUGCAAAUAAUGUGUUUGAUUACCUCGUCCUUUGUAAGCUCAAGAGUAAUCCAAGCUAAACAUUCCCACCUAUAUUUGCACUGAGUACGAAUAGAUAUAUUAAACUAAAGCCUGUGGACUGUAGCUCUAAGAUCAUCAGUUCUGACAAAUUAUCAUUGAUGUGAUCUCCUAUUUGUAAUUUCUCGCUGGUGUUGCUAUGCUAGUUGGAUGGUUACCGAAGGUGUUGAGGUUUGGAAUCUCUGGAUGAUUAUUAAAGGUGUUAGCUCCAGGCUCAAUCAACAAAUGUUGUCAAUUUAACAGUUCUAUUGUACCUCCUGGUGAAUAGAGAAUCACCACAAGCCUCAUAGUUUUGGCAGCCUAAUUCAUGCUGCAAAAGGAGAUGGGCAUGAAGUGAGUAAGGAACAUUUAUAAGCUUAAAGUAGAUGAGAAGGAGGUUAGCUACCAAGCGCACAAUGCUUAAAAAGCAAAAAUCAUAAGAUCAAAUACUAUUGGUUGCUUAAUUUUGAAUUCAGUUUGUUAUUUCUUGCAAGUUUCCAAAUUAGACGGAGGCUAUGUUAACGCGUUUGAAUAAUAUGAUAUUGGUCAAAUCUGUUUGAAGUAUUAUUAAUUAGUUUAAAGUAAUUUUGUUUUAUAAUCUUUAUUGUGUGAUUCAGAACUCUCUUAUUAGUGAACAUCUUCCCUUUCGACAUUACUCCCAUCAGGACAUUUUUUUGAUAAUCUAGCAGGUACACUACUAUUAGUAAUUUACCUUUGUACAAAGGAUGUCAGUCUCCUCGAUCUUCACAAGGCUGAAAAUGAUUCUUAUCUCCUGCUCGGUAGGUAGAAAAGGAACGAAGCAUGUGAAGCCUAAUUUUUUUCUUAAAAGAAUGUCCUAGGCUGGUUCUAUUCUCUUUCAGCGGUUUAAGAUACGCCUAAUUGCUGGGAACAAAUGCACUAAUAAGUGGACAAUAUAUUGUCUUCAGAUCUUCUUGAUGUGGACAUGAGCCAUUGAAAACUGUUGGACUGUUUAUCUUCUUUAACUUGUAGGCUUGUUCAAAUACUUAGGGAUUAACUAAAGUGACGUUCAAUGUGCCUUUUGUACCAAUCGACUAGACCUUCUAAUUCAUCUAUUGCCACUUACUUGAAGACAAGGGAGUAUAUAUUUACCCGUUGAUAGAACCUUCUAUUCAAAUACUCUUUUUCUAGUCAUACUUACUAAUCAAAGGCUUCCUGGUGAGGCAUUUACACCAUACACUUUUUGAGAUUUUACAUUAUUAGAUCCAUAUGUAUUAUAUUGUUUAGAUUGUAAGAUUCAAAUUGUGUAAUGAUGUUGGAUUUUAGGAUCCAGCCCAUUGUGAACAGGUUUUUCUGAGUGUUGUAAAAACUGUAAAAGGGAUCAUGAUAUCUUUCACCUUGGAAUUUCCAAUGUUAUAUUUCAAGUUUAGUUUGUACUUCUGGAUGCUGACCAUGACUUAUCUUUUUGCAGAGGUCCACGAUGGGUAAGUGUGAACUUAGCUUACUUUCAAGUUUGCUUACACGAUUGAAAGUCAACUUAGCUUUCCUCUGUCUAGGAAUGCGAAUGAGUCACUGAAAUGCAACAUAUACUUGCCUCAGCUCUGAUUUGUCAAACUAGUAUCUAUUAGAAUUUUGAUGCAUCUCAAUAACUGCUUCGUGUCAACUGCAGGUAAGAUCUGCAACCCUGGACACAUGGCUUCCAGAGCAGGUUGCAUUUAUUCAAUCAAUGGGAAAUGAAAAGGCAAAUAGCUAUUGGGAAGCAGAACUCCUCCAAACUAUGACAGAGUUGGAAUAGAGAACUUCAUUCGUGCAAA